rnacentral:rRNA from 1 species
CAAUAGCGUAUAUUAAAGUUGUUGCAGUUAAAAAGCUCGUAGUUGGAUUUCUGGCAGGAGCGACCGGUCACACACUCUGUGUGUGAACUUGUGUUGUCUCUGGCCAUCCUUGGGGAGAUCCUGUUUGGCAUUAAGUUGUCGGGCAGGGGACAUCCAUCGUUUACUGUGAAAAAAUUAGAGUGUUUAAAGCAGGCUUAUGCCGUUGAAUAUAUUAGCAUGGAAUAAUAAGAUAGGACUUCGGAACUAUUUUGUUGGUUUGCGUUACGAAGUAAUGAUUAAUAGGGACAGUUGGGGGUAUUCGUAUUUCGUUGUCAGAGGUGAAAUUCUUGGAUUUCCGAAAGACGAACUACUGCGAAAGCAUUUACCAAGGAUGUUUNCAUUAG